rnacentral:lncRNA from 1 species
AAACUUGUACCAAACAUGAUCUCAAUUCCUAAUAUAUAUCCAAAAUAUAUUGAACAUCUAAGAUAAUUAUCUAUUACAUGAAGGUUGAUAUGGUUGAAGGUGGCGGUUGAAGCCUGAAGUUUUAAGAUUUUGGUUUUGUUUUCAUUGAAUAAUGUUUUUCAUUGAAUAAUGUUUUUCAUUACAUGAGAACUUGGUUAUUGUUUUUUUCUUUUUAUUUAAUUUGUUUUUUUCUAUCAAUAACUAUAUUUACCCUCGUUUGAUUUCGAAUUAUCAUGUUUGAUAUUCCUUUCUUAUUUUUGAAUCGAUUUUACUUAUGUUUUGGUUACAAAAUAGGUACAAAUCAAGUAUUUUAAAACCGAAAGAAUCGAUUUUACUUAUGUUUUGAUUACAAAAUAGAUACAAAUCAUGUACAUUUAAACCGAAAAAAUGAUUGAAACCUGAACCCGAAAGUACAUCGAAUUAUACCAGUUCUUUGAAGAUUUACUAACCCCGACCCGAAC